CCUACGGGUGGCAGCAGUGGGGAAUAUUGCACAAUGGGGGAAACCCUGAUGCAGCAACGCCGCGUGAAGGAAGACGGUUUUCGGAUUGUAAACUUCUGUUCUUAGUGAAGAAGAAUGACGGUAGCUAAGGAGCAAGCCACGGCUAACUACGUGCCAGCAGCCGCGGUAAUACGGAGGAUGCGAGCGUUAUCCGGAUUUAUUGGGUUUAAAGGGUGCGCAGGCGGAGGCACAAGUCAGCGGUAAAAUCGCGGGGCUCAACCCCGCUCCGCCGUUGAAACUGUGUCCCUUGAGUGCGCGAAGGGUAGGCGGAAUGCGUGGUGUAGCGGUGAAAUGCAUAGAUAUCACGCAGAACUCCGAUCGCGAAGGCAGCCUACCGGCGCGCAACUGACGCUCAUGCACGAAAGCGUGGGUAUCGAACAGGAUUAGAUACCCGAGUAGUC
rnacentral:rRNA from 1 species